rnacentral:misc_RNA from 1 species
GAUGAAGAACGCAGCGAAUUGCGAUAAGUAAUGUGAAUUGCAGAUUUUCAGUGAAUCAUCGAAUCUUUGAACGCACAUUGCGCCCCCUGGUAUUCCGGGGGGCAUGCCUGUCCGAGCGUCAUUACAACCCUCAAGCUCAGCUUGGUGUUGGGCCCCGCCGCCCCGGCGGGCCCUAAAGUCAGUGGCGGUGCCGUCCGGCUCCGAGCGUAGUAAUUCUUCUCGCUCUGGAGGUCCGGUCGUGUGCUCGCCAGCAACCCCCAAUUUUUUUCAGGUUGACCUCGGAUCAGGUAGGGAUACCCGCUGAACUUAAGCAUAUCAAUAAGCGGAGGA